ACGGCCAAGCGAGGACGCGCCUCUGCUGGCGUCCUGGGCCAAUGGCGCACGGCGCAGCGUGGUCGCAGUGCGCGCGCCUGACCAAUGGCGCGCGGGCCCCCCUCCCCGGCUCACAUGACGCCUUUUUCUAUACGUUCUCCCUCCUCUCGGCUCUCAAACGCGGCGAGCCCGGGCAUCGAUGCAGACCUGACACCGCGGCCACCAAGCAACCGGACGUCCAAGCUUUCUCCCCCCGGUGUGACAACGCUAUGUGCUUUUCUUUACUUUAACCAAAAAAAAAGAAAAAAAAAAAAAAGAAAGAAAAGCCCCACGAAGAUGCGCACGAUGACUCUCACACGCCCGAGGAAGGACGCACUUUUUCCGCCAGCAGACGACCGGAGAGACGCCAAAAAAAAAAAAAAAAACGAAAAAAAAAAAAAAACGAAAAAAAAAACGCCCAUAAGUUGCAGAAAUGAACCGUCAAGAUUGGGGCUGCCAUAAGAGGAAGAAAACCUCCAACCUUCAGGACGAGGGGAGGGAGAGGAAGGGAAGCCCCGGAGCAGAACGCGCCAAGAAGAAAAAAAAAGAAAAAAGACAAGAGUGAUAAAAGAGCGGUCCAGACGUGAUGGAGGCGCACUCACACAACGAUAUCUUGAGUCUGUCUGUGGUCUACCGCCAGGAUACUCCCCCCUCCGCCCCUCCUAAGCAUCCCUGCAUUUUCCACCGCACGCACGCCACACACACACAUAUACUGGUUAUUAUUUAGAAUGGGGACCACAUUUUUGAUCAUGACUUGUGGGGACCACCCUACUACAGGUUGUGGAGGCAUAAAAAAUACGUAAAAUGGCCACUGCCCAGUUAGCUCAUACACGUCUUUAAAUCUCUGGAUUGAAAAAGUAAUGUGCUGAUCAUUCUUACUGUGGAACCUGGGGAAAAAUAGUUAAUAUGGUUCAUGGGGACCGAAUUUAAAUUAUUUUGCAUAAUUCACACAAAUUUGUACGUGACUACUGAGGACCAUUUAAAAAAAAAAAUAAAGUUCAAAUUAGUUUUACUUUUUAGUUUUCAGUAAACAUGUUUUAUGGGCCAAAGCACUAAGGCAUCUUCAGAAUGGAUCUGACUAUCGUUUAAAAAGGUUUCCCUUUUUUUGUCCCCAUACUGUCAGAGGUCCCCUAAAGGUGACUGUGUAAACAGAGUGAUGUCCCCAUUAAGUAAGCAUUGUCAGAACACACACACACACACACAUACAUGGGUGGCAUAGCUCGGUUGGUAGAGUGGCCGUGCCAGCAACUUGAGGGUUGCAGGUUCGAUUCCCGCUUCCGCCAUCCUAGUCACUGCCGUUGUGUCCUUGGGCAAGAAACUUUACCCACUUGCUCCUAGUGCCACCCACACUGGUUUAAAUGUAACUUAGAUAUUGGGUUUCGCUAUGUAAAGCGCUUUGAGUCACUAGAGAAAAGCGCUAUAUAAAUAUAAUUCACUUCACUUCACUUCACACACUUGCCUUUAACAGUACAGAGCCAUAGAGUAGACGGGUAAAAGGGUUGUGAAUGUGAGAAAACAUGCCGAUUAUCCGAUGUUUUUAUUCAAAUGGAAUGAAACUGCUGAUUUAUAUAAAUAUUUUUUUGGAGAAAUUUGUAUGAUUCAGCCCUUUCACAGAUUUAGUGAAAACAUCCUUUAUCAGAGUUGAUGUUAAAUCCGUCACUUUUUAUUUAAAACCAUCCCUUCUUUAUCGCUGUUAAUUGGUUCUGGGGUUGGAAAAAAAAAAAAGAAAUUGAGACACAUGCGAUUCAGAAUUCUUAUUCACAGUACCACGAUUCUAAAUCAAAUCUCAAUUUGGUAAGAAUCAAUGUUAAACUCCGCACUUAUAAGUCAGCAGAUGGAUAAGCUUUUGUAUCCCGUAACCUGUUUUGAAACGGUUUCAUUACAAUUUCUAUACCAAAAGUGUAUCGAAAAACGGUUUGAAAUGAGAAUACACCAAGAAUUGGAACCAAAUCUAGAGUUCCGAAUCUUUCCUGUGAUUGUAGACUACAAUGGAAUCGUCUGCAAUGCUGUUUAGUGCAGUUUUAAUAAAAAAAUAAUAGUAAAAAAAAAAUAUAUAUAUAUAAUGAGAAUCAGCACCUCCAAGUCCGAGUCCAUGGUUCUCGCCCGGAAAAGGGUGGAGUGCCAUCUCCGGGUUGGGGAGGAGACCCUGCCCCAAGUGGAGGAGUUCAAGUACCUAGGAGUCUUGUUCACGAGUGAGGGAAGAGUGGAUCGUGAGAUCGACAGGCGGAUCGGUGCGGCGUCUUCAGUAAUGCGGACGUUGUACCGAUCCGUUGUGGUGAAGAAGGAGCUGAGCCGGAAGGCAAAGCUCUCAAUUUACCGGUCGAUCUACGUUCCCAUCCUCACCUAUGGUCAUGAGCUUUGAGUCAUGACCGAAAGGAUAAGAUCACGGGUACAAGCGGCCAAAAUGAGUUUCCUCCGCCGUGUGGCGGGGCUCUCCCUUAGAGAUAGGGUGAGAAGCUCUGCCAUCCGGGAGGAGCUUAAAGUAAAGCCGCUGCUCCUUCACAUCGAGAGGAGCCAGAUGAGGUGGUUCGGGCAUCUGGUCAGGAUGCCACCCGAACGCCUCCCUAGGGAGGUGUUUAGGGCACGUCCAACCGGUAGGAGGCCACGGGGAAGACCCAGGACACGUUGGGAAGACUAUGUCUCCCGGCUGGCCUGGGAACGCCUCGGGAUCCCCCGGGAAGAGCUAGACGUAGUGGCUGGGGAGAGGGAAGUCUGGGUUUCCCUGCUUAGGCUGUUGCCCCCGCGACCCGACCUCGGAUAAGCGGAAGAUGAUGGAUGGAUGGAUAUAUAUAUAUAUAGAUUUAUAUACUAUACUCAAUGUUUCUGUGGUUUAUCCGUUAUACAGUGCUCAAUACCGGGGUAGAGCAGAAUAUACUGUACGUUAGGUCAGGAAAAAACAAGAGGCUUUAUCAUCCCGACAAGCCUGUUUCGCAGGUUUCCCUUUGUAUAAAAUCUCCUGACGCGCAGGGAAACCUGCGAAAGGGAUGAUAUAGCCUCGUGUUUUUUCCUGACCUUAUUGAAAAUAUAAUUAAUACAUAUAUAUAUAUAUAUAUAUAUAUAUAUAUAUAUACAUGUUCAUAGUUAGAGCAAGAAAAAAUGUUUACGGCCUUCCAGGCAAAGUUUUAAUGUCAUGAAAGCCCUCUAGACAUGAAAUAACACCCCUUUAGUCACGUUUACACUGUUUAAUCUAAGGUUGCCUGGGGCUGAGCCAAUCAGUGGCCACACAACUAAACAUCACACUCUAAUUGCUUUGUUCUCUUCUUGUGGCCAAUACUACUGUAGUAUUGAUAUUUUAAGGUCAUUUAGCCACUUUUAAGCUUAGACAAUGCCUGAUUUGGGCCAAACAUGUAGAACAUGCUUACAAAACCAUCUGCAGAGCUGCAAACUUGUAAGCGUGAUACGGCGAAGGAUUGUACUACGAAAUGUGUCUCUUGAGCGUCGUUCUGCAAGUUCGCCUGCACAGGCUUCAACCUUAAGUGCGUGCAUGCUUCAACUCUUCUAUUUUCAGCCGUCCAAACCAAUCUCCUCCAGUUAAACAGCUGCACCGCAUGUCCCACAAACCCCCUCCUUAACCGACCCCGCCCACACCGCCCCCUGUCCCGACCGGCGCCCCUUCCAAACCUCAGCAUCCUGCAUGCGCCCUCCAAAAACACAUGACCCUAAAUUACGUCUGCCGACCCUUUUCCCCCCUACUUUGCCAUAAGAUGAGUUCAAAACAGCUCGAAUUCAUCUGAUAUAUGCCCUAAAACUUUACGCAGCAGAGGACGCGGCCUUUAAGGACAUAUGUUGCAUCCGAAAAGUAUCUAUUGAUUGAUUACUUGAAACUUUUAUUAGUAGAUUGCACAGUACAGUACAUAUUCCGCACAAUUGACACCCGAAUAAGUUGUUCAACUUGUUUAAGUUGAUUGGCAACAGUAAAUUGGCCCUAGUGUGUGAAUGUGAGUGUGAAUGUUGUCUGUCUAUCUGUGUUGGCCAUGCGAUGAGAUGGCGACUUUUCCAGGGUGUAAACCGCCUUCCGCCCGAUUUUAGGUGAGAUAGGCGCCAGCGCCCCCCGUGACCCUAAUAGGGAAAAAGCAGUAGGAAAUGGAUGGAUGGAACUUUUUUACGUCAGGGUCCACGUUAAUCAAUUCAUGGUAUUCACAGUGCUUCACUUUUACCCUAUUUUGUUAUGUUAAAACAGUGGUCCCCAACCACCGGGCUGCAGAAGAAUGUUUUAUUCAUUUUUAUUUA